GGCAAACUGCCCUCAGGCCCGAUGCAAACACAGUAAUUUUGCUCUCUCCAUCUCUUCCUUUUGAAUUUCCUCCACAGCUUCCGCGGGAGUAAGGACACUCAGAGGGCUGGGGUCAGACAAGCUGAGCAAAGCCCAGGUGCCCCUGAAUCUCCCUGAGCCUCAAUUUCCUCGUCCAUAAAAUGGGGGCGUCCUUUCCAGGAGGCGGGGCUGAGUCAGAGGAGGCUGUGCUCACCUCCAGCAGGUGCCGGUCGCCCCUCUGUCCUCUCUGUGUGCGUCUCUGCCCCUGUCUCUCUGUCUCUCUCUCUGUCUGUGUCUUUCUCUGCCUCUGUCUCUGCUUCCACCCCUAACAGUCAUGCCCUGGCUAUCUGGCCUCAACGCUAAGCCCUGGACGUCCAGAAGACACACACAGGGGCCCCUGCAGUGCUCACUGCCCUUCUUAAGCCACUCCUAGUUCAAGGGUAGCGUUUGAAUGUGCCCUUGGCCCGAGAGGCAGAAGGCCCAGGGGGCUGAUGGGAAACUGAGGGAACGGCCAGCUUCUCUGCAGGAGUUGGAACUUGAGACAGACAGGCAGCAGGAACUGAGCCGCUGGCAGCUGAAGCCAAAGCCAGAAGACACACAGAGAACAGUCCUUGGCUCUCCCGGGAUCGCGUCUCCUUCAAAGCGGCCACACAAACUAGCUUGACGAGCUAAUCCCAAAACCUGAAAGAAAUGAGUCACCAUUGAAAGCAGUCAGGCAGAUGUCACCUAGACAAUGGCUCUCCCUCCCCUCUGCCCAGAAGGCUGAUGUGGAAACUGAGGCACAGACAGGGCAGCACCAGGAGUCUCGCCCUGUGUUCCCACUUCACAGCCUGAACUCCUAACCACCGCUGUCCUUUGCAGUUUUCAGGGAAGUGUCAGAAGCUAAGAGAUCUGUAACAUUUUAGGCUUUGGGGUCAGAUGCGAUCUCUUCGCCUCUCCAGCUACGGUGACUGUGGGGAAGGAUGUACCCUCUCCGAGUCCCAGGCUCCUCAUCUGUGUGACAAAGUAGGGCUACUGUCAGGAUUAAAUGGCAUGAAUUCUGUUACAGAAGACGCGGCCCUCCUGGUCAGAGCCGAGCCUCCAGGCUGAGGGGAGCUGGUGGG